rnacentral:rRNA from 1 species
AAUCAACGCUGGCGGCGUGCCUAACACAUGCAAGUCGAGCGCGAAAGCGGGGUAACUCGCAAGUAGAGCGGCGAACGGGUGAGUAACGCGUGGGUGAUCUACCUCCGAGUGGGGAAUAACACCGGGAAACUGGUGCUAAUACCGCAUGACAUCCUCGGAUCACACUGGGGAUCAAAGCCGGGGACCGCAAGGCCUGGCGCUUGGAGAGGAGCCCGCGUCCGAUUAGCAGUUGGCGGGGUAACGGCCCACCAAGGCGACGACCGGUAGCCGGCCUGAGAGGGCGGACGGCCACACUGGGACUGAGACACGGCCCAGACUCCUACGGGAGGCAGCAGUGGGGAAUUUUUCGCAAUGGGCGCAAGCCUGACGAAGCAACGCCGCGUGGGGAUGAAGGUCUUCGGAUUGUAAACCCCUGUCGACCGGGACGAAAGUACCCGACCUAACACGUCGGAAUAUUGACUGUACCGGUGGAGGAAGCCACGGCUAACU